CCUUGCCCUUGAUCUUUAUUAAUUUCUUUACGGAUCACCCACCACCUCCAACACCACCUAGUUACAGAACCUGCAUGGGCAGGCUGCGCUGACCGCAAACCCAUGGUCUUCCCGGAUCAUCCUUCCCAGUGUUGAACGACAGCCAAUCCCAUCAGAUUGUAGACUCGUGGCCAAUGGGUUGAUUGGCCGUUACUGCCUCCAUCAGAAGCAAAAGACAGAGGCCAUCUUGCCUGACUGUGUUCCCUGACCACGUUUGGGUGCUG